UAUAUUCAACCCGUGGUCAUUUUAAAGGGACGGGCUCUUUUCCUUUAUGCGUGCUCUGCUCGAUCUAGACGGGCAUGGCGCCGUCGGCGGCGGCAGGUCUUUUUCUCCGGCCAUCCGCCGGCCUGUUCUCCUUCCCCUCCCGAUCCGCCCCUAAUACUCUCCGGCGCCACCCGCAGCCUCUUCAAUCUCGAACCUCCUGCACAUGUGUCGUGCUUCUCUGACUUGGAUCAGAGUUGGAUUUUGUGUCCUCAAAUCCAUGGAGUAGCCACCAAAUUCCGUCGAAUCGCCGCGUCAACCUCCCCGCGGCGGCCGCACCGCCCAGGAACCCCAGCCAUCGCUCCUGCCAGGCCAGGCUCCGCUGCCGAGGUCCCGCGUCGCCAUUUGAUCCCCAAGUGCCUAUCCGCCAUCUCAACGGCCUCACCCAGCGAGCUCGCCUGGACCCUAAGGUCAUUGGAGCGAGCCUCCACCAGGCCACCCGACGCGCCAAUGAUCCCGUGUGCUGCCGCUCGAAGCUCCCCUGCUCGCUGCCCUCCACGCACCGCCGCCCUGGCCUAGCAGAUUAAUGGAGGGCGCGACCAACUUUGGUUCGUGCCUCGGUGCUCCUCGCCGUUCACCAGCUGCCGCAUCCAACUUCUCCACUAUGGGAGUUCAUUAUGGCACCGUACAACCACCAAUUAAUAGAGAACAUGGGGGAAGGGAAAGGAGAUGAUGCAGCCGGUGCUAUGUCGAACCAUCGACGCGGCAGACGCAGCAUACAAAUGCCCUGUAGGUGGCCGGACCUGGGGAUCUCCAUCAAGGUCGACAACGAGUUGUAGUACUGUGUCCAGCCAACAACUCCUUUUACUUCUCAGGGGAGGACACUGGUCGUUUGGUUAAAAAAAGGAGUGUGGGAACUCGUCAUCCUUUCUCAAACAUUCUCACUCAGUCAAGUGCCAAGGUUCAUGGUGACAAAUGGACAUACUGUUUCAGGCUUAUGACUAAGAAUUAGAAACACAGACUCAAAUUAAUUAGAUGCUCUAAUUAGAAGAUGUUGCUUAUGAAAUCGGUAGAGCCAUGCAUCUGCAAUUAUCUAUUAGCAACAUCAGGAGAGGUUCAAGAUUACAUUCAAGGAGAGAACACAAGCAUGAUGAUACUCAAUAAAGUGAAGCAAUGGGCAGACUUGCAAGAGAGGGAGUAGUCCGGGCCUAUCACACAAUGUAAAUAUGUGAACUGCUCUUUCCAAAAUCGCUACAAAAUUCAUGUUAAUUUCCUGCAAAUGAAUAAGGUAUGAUUUUUUUGUAUGAAUUUCUAUUUUGCGUUGUCUAGGCUUUGCAAGGUGGCCAUGACUAAUAUUAUUGUAAAAAAGCACUGUAACUUUUGCCUCGAAUGAAACAAGGUCUUUGGGCGAGACAGUAAGCACCCAAAACAUUUUUUCUUGCUUCUUUCUUGAAUUUCCGGUUAUCCUCUAUUCCCCUGCUUCUUUUUCACUGGUUGUGAAUCAUCCGUUGCUGUCACUAAAUUCAUGUUGGAAUAUCUACAUCGAUUUGACAUAAGCACAUUGAUGAGAGUGCUUGAAGCUGCCACAGUUAAGCUAGAGCUAUUUUAUUUUAUUUUUAUUUUGCGAAGAAGAGCCAUCUCAAUUUAAAGUGUGAGCUGUUUGUGUUUUCAAUACCAGACCUGCUAUCGAUUUUUAUUUUUUUGUAGUGAAGCUAGCUGUUGUUAUGUUGGAAACCGAACUUACUGCAUCUAGAAAAGAAUACUCAUUGUGCCACCAGUUAGUAGCAAUUAAUCGAAUCCCGAUGGUUAGAAGCAGGUUUCACUUUUUAUGCUGAAAACUUCUGUUAUUAUUUUCCUUGAUGAGUUUUGAUUUGUUCCAAUUGCUGAUUGGCUGGCUUGGUUUUAUGAUUUUCCGAGUAUUUUACUAUUAUGACAUUCUUAUAUUCCUUCUUUUUACGGGUUAACAUUCUUAUAUUCGUCUUCAUAUACAAUUGGAUAGUUUUGCUUUUCUUCAGGCUGGGGGCUCAUAUCUCUCCCUAAUAAUAAAGCACGGAUUGGGUCUCCGGGUUCACCGUCGUGCACUUUUGUAAAGAAACCCCUGUUGAUUUCGGUAUUGUACGCGCAGUCCUCACAAUAAGUUAACACGAACCGGUACGCCAGAGAAAAGGAAAGAAAAUCAGCCCCCCUCUCCCCGCACGCCCUGCCUCCCAAUCCCAUCUCCAACCCCUGCCACGCCCCUCACCGCGCGCCGCCGUGCGCCACCACCAGCCACCACGCCGGCGCGCCUACCCCUCCCCGACCGGCUACACGCAGAUGAUGCUCGAGUGCACCUUCUGGCUCGGUUCAAUGCGGCGGCUCGAGCGGUUGGGGGUGGCACAGCAGCUCGAUGCAGAACAGACGGCGGCGGCUGGAGCUUGCAGGGGCGGAUCCAUGCAUGGCAGGGGUUGGGGAGGCUGAUCCAAAAGCGGGCGGCGAGGAGGGGGUCGCCGGUGGCGACGAGGAAAGCCGGAGUGAGGGAUCCGGCGACCUAGGCAGGAGCUCGCCGGAGCUGGGCGAUGGCAGACGGGCGCGUGAGACGGAGGGAUCCGGCGUGGCAGCACGAAUUUCUUGCAGGUAGAUAGCUCCAAGCCAUGCCAGCUCUUCAGUUUUCCCUGGUGGAAAAGAGAGAAAGAGGAGGAUUCAGGGAGGAGGAGAGGUAGGGAGAAGAAGGUGCAGGUGCGAGCUUGGGGAAGAGGGAGCAGAACGUCAAGUGAGAGACUGUGAGGAUUAGGGAUUCUUGUUAGCCAGCAUGGUAAGGUGGAGAGGCUGCUUAGGGAACAUUAUAUGAUUUAUGCAGCAGAGAGGAGGCUGCAAGGGGAGAGGAACGGUGCAUUGAGGUUGAGGUACACAGGACACAUCGGGACCCGGGAGCUCCAGAAGAGGCUCGAUCGAUCUUGACAAGAACAGACUAUAUAUAGUGCAGAGAAGAUGAACCAUGCAAAAACUCAGGCUGGACCACCGGGGCUUCACUGCUGGCGGAACAGUAGAGGGCUUGGCUGCUACCAGGGUGAUCCAAAUGGAGCGUGUUUGUGGCCUCUUGCACUGCAUGAUUAAUGGUAGCUUCUAUUACAUGACAUGAUUUUUGCAGCUGACAUGUUUCAUGCGAGAGGACAUAAAUUUGCAUCCUAUUUUUCUGUCCAAUUGGUUCCAAAUCACAAAUGUUUGUGCUAUCAGUGACAAUUUGAUGGAAAAGACGAGUCAUAUAUACAGCCAAUGAAAGCUUUCACAUCAGCCGUUGCUCUUGAUUGUCUUUGCAAGUCCAUAGAUAUAAUUUUUAUGAUUUUCCUUUACUCAUAGUAAGUACUGAAUAUUUUGUGCUUCAACCCUUUAGGUGUUAAUUUCUGUGAUGCAGCUAGCAAAGUUGGCAAUAGGUACAGUACUAUAACCAUCAUGAUCUGCACAGGGAUAUCACCUAGGUACAUAAAUCAUAAUCAUUCAGUUUUUAUUUGGCAAGCUGGAGCUACCCAGAACUUCCGAUUUUGGUGCCAAGAUGGAUGGAUUGAACCGGGUGACCCACUGUCAGGUAUUAUUGUUCAGUUAUCCUGAGGGUAAUGUGGAUAUGUUCUGUUUGAGAUCAAAGCUUGGUAUUGCUAGAAAAUAUAUAUAUGUGCACUGAGAUUUCAAAUAUAUAACAGCAUUGAUACAACGUAAGGUUUCCCUUGCUAUCGUACAUUUUUUCAUUACUAUCAUAACCUUUUUAGAUCAAGCAUGUCAUGCAUUACAUUUCAUUAUGUAUGUUGCAACUUCAAGACCACAAUGCCUCUGUAUGUAACAUCUGUAUGCUGAUUAUUUUUUGGAAUUGAAUUAUGUAUUCAAAGCUAUUGUUCAGCAUAUACAUCGUUUGAAAAUCAUACAAGGGGCAAAAUUUAUAUGUACCCUUCUGU